UUUAUUUUUUCGUAUCCAACGUUUGACCAUUCGUCUUAUUUGAAAAAAAAUUUCGAUUAAUAUUUUUAUUGUUACUAGAUGAUAAAAUAUGAAUAGUACUUUAUACAUGACUAUUUUUUUAAGUUUUUGUGCAAAUUUUUUAAAUAAGACAAAUAGUCAAACGUUGGACAUGAAAAAACA
rfam:Oryza brachyantha chromosome 11, whole genome shotgun sequence.